GAUGAAGAACGUAGCGAAAUGCGAUAAGUAAUGUGAAUUGCAGAAUUCAGUGAAUCAUCGAAUCUUUGAACGCACCUUGCGCUCUUUGGUAUUCCGAAGAGCAUGCCUGUUUGAGUGUCAUGAAAAUAUCAACCUUGACUUGGGUUUUGUGCUCUAGUCUCGGCUUGGAAUUGGGUGCUUGCCGCUUUUACGAGCGGCUCACCUUAAAUGUAUUAGCUGGAUCUGUCUUUGAGACUUGGUUUGACUUGGCGUAAUAAGUAUUUCGCUAAGGACAUUCUUCGGAGUGGCCUCGUUUCUAGGACGCUUGUCCGCUUUCCAAUACAAGUUCCACCUCGUGGACAUGACUUUUUAUUAUCUGCCCUCAAAUCAGGUAGGACUACCCGCUGAACUUAAGCAUAUCAAUAAGCGGAGGA
rnacentral:misc_RNA from 1 species